UGCGAGGACAGCGGAACGGUCUGGGAAGGCCGGCCAGAGAGGGUGAAGGCCCCGUACGCGAAAUCCGAGCACCAUGCAGGGCGUACCUGAGUACGGCGGGACACGAGGAAUCCUGUCGGAAUCUGGGGGGACCACCCUCCAAGGCUGAAUACUCGGCAGCUACCGAUAGCGCAUAGUACCGUGAGGGAAAGGUGAAAAGCACCCCGGGAGGGGAGUGAAAGAGAACCUGAAACCGUGGACCUGCAAGCGGUCAGAGCCCGCAAGGGUGAUGGCGUGCCUUUUGUAGAAUGAGCCUGCGAGUUACCGUAUGCAGCGAGGUUAAGGGAUAGGAGUCCCGGAGCCGAAGGGAAACCGAGUCUGAAUAGGGCGAAUAGUUGCAUGUGGUAGACCCGAAGCCAAGUGAUCUAUCCAUGUCCAGGCUGAAGCCCGGGUAAAACCGGGUGGAGGGCCGAACCUAAAUCCGCUGAAAAGGGUUGGGAUGAGGUGUGGAUCGGAGCGAAAGACUAAACAAACUUGGAGAUAGCUGGUACUCCCCGAAAUAGCUUUAGGGCUAGCGUCGGACGGACUGCCACGGAGGUAGAGCACUGGAUAGGUGCGGGCCCUUCACCGGGUACCAAGCUUAACCAAACUCCGAAUGCCGUGGUACAAUAUCCGGCAGUCAGACGGCGACUGAUAAGGGCCGUCGUCGAAAGGGAAACAGCCCAGACCGGCAGUCAAGGUCCCAAAUGUAUGCCAAGUGGGAAAGGAAGUGCGAUUGCACAGACAGCCAGGAGGUUGGCUCAGAAGCAGCCACACCUUCAAAGAGUGCGUAACAGCUCACUGGUCGAGUAGUCGUGCGCCGACAAUUCAACGGGGCUAAGCAUACAACCGAAACUCCGGCACAGUGCGAGACGCUGUGGGUAGGGGAGCAUUCCAUGUACGGAAGAAGUCGGGGCGGGAGCCCCGGUGGACGGGAUGGAAGAGAGAAUGCAGGCAUGAGUAACGAAAAGACGGGUGGGAUCCCCGUCCGCCGGAAGCCUAAGGUUUCCAGGGUAAAGGCAAUCUACCCAGGGGUCAGUCGGCCCCUAAGGCGAGGCCGAAAGGCGUAGCCGAUGGGAAGCAGGUCAACAUUCCUGCACCUCAUGCAUGACCGAUGGAGGGAAGCAUAGGGCGGAGCACAGCAGGGCGACGGUCGUCCCUGUCGAAGCGGCGAGGCGCUGAGGGAUCGAGUCAAAUGCCGGUCCCGAGCCGAGCCGGGAGCGAGCCGACCCACGGGAAGGCGAAGUGUGCCGAGUCGUCGUGACUGGAAACACCUCCUAAGGACAUGAUGCAUGGGACCGUACUAGAAACCGACACAGGUGGGCGAGCUGAGAAUGCGAAGGCGCACGGAAGAAUUCACGUAAAGGAACUCGGCAAAAUGCAUAUGUAACCUAGGGAAAAAUAUGGCCCGCGCGAGCGGGUUGCAGAGAAAUGGCCCAUGCGACUGUUUACCAAAAACACAGGUCCAUGCGAACCAGCAAUGGGAAGUAUAUGGACUGACACCUGCCCGGUGCUGGAAGGUCAAGGGGAGAUGUUAGGAGAAAUCCGAGGCAUCGAACUCAAGCCCCAGUAAACGGCGGCCGUAACAGCGAAAUUCCUUGUCGGGUAAGUUCCGACCCGCACGAAUGGUGUAACGAUAUGGGCACUGUCUCUACGUGAAGUCCGGUGAAAUUGAAGUUCGGGUGAAGAUGCCCGAUACUUGUGGUUAGACGGAAAGACCCCGUGAACCUUUACUUCAACUUGAUAUGGAAACCUGGUUCCCCAUGUGUAGGAUAGGUGGGAGGCAGGGAGGCAUGGUCGUCAGACUGUGCGGAGCCGAUGGUGAAAUACCACCCUUGAGGAACCAGGUUUCUAACACGUGCCAUGAACUGGUAUGUGGACAGUGUCAGGCGGGAAGUUUGACUGGGGCGGUCGCCUCCCAAAGUGUAACGGAGGCGCGCGAUGGUCACCUUAGGACGGUUGGGAAUCGUCCGUCAAGUGCAAAGGCAUAAGGUGGCCUGACUGCGAGGCGUACAUGCCGAGCAGGUACGAAAGUAGGUCUUAGUGAUCUGGCGGUAGCGUGUGGAAGCGCCGUCACUUAACGGAUAAAAGGUACUCCGGGGAUAACAGGCUGAUCUUGCC
rnacentral:rRNA from 1 species